rnacentral:lncRNA from 1 species
UUUUUUUCCAAACUGAUGAGGAUGAUGCAUUUCUAGGAUUACUUGUGGGCUAGAACAUUGUUUUAUAUACCAGUCAUUUAAGUUUUCCAUUUUUAAUUGCUUUUCCAUUUUCCUAUUGAGUGUCUUGUAUUUUAUUAUUAUUUGUAGGCAUUCUUUAUACAGUCUAGAUCCCUCUUUUGUUUUGCAUUGAAAACAACUUCUGUUUGUUAACUCAGAAUAUUAUGUCCUCUAGUAACAGAAAAGAAACCAUAUACUUAAAGUAUAAAAGUAAGUCUAAAAUAACAGUGAAAAAAAUAAUAAAAUAAAAUAAAAUAAAAUAAAAUAAAAUAAAAUAAAAUAAAAUAACAGUGAUGUGAACUACCUCUGGAGACAUGAAAAACUUCUAUCAUCGUGUUUCAGUUAGCUAUUAAAUAUUUCAGUCCAAUGAUUAUUUUCCAGUUAUUAAAAGCUCAUUUAAAUUUAUAUAUUUGGGACUUGCCUAGUCUAAUAACAAGCACCUGGAUUGAGGGUUUGUGGUGAGGGAAAUUAUCUUGCUGUGAUCAUCCAAUAUCAGUGUACUGUGGACAAGUCACUUAAUCUUUUUACUCCUCAGCUUGCUCAUUUAAUUAAAUGAGCUGUUUGACCUGUCAUUUUGCAAACAAAUAUCAGGAGGACAAAGUGGAAGUAAAUCAUGGAGGUAUGCUUUAUAAACUGUAAAACACUAUAUAUAACAUAUAUAUCAAUAUAUGUUGUUAUGACUGCUAUUAACCAUCAUAAUUAUUAAAAGAAGCAUUCCUGGGAAGGGCUGGCAUUGAAAAUAGUAUCACACACUUACCUUUCUAACUAAACCCCCCCCCACUUUUCCUGCAAUUUGAAGGCAACCAGAGCACCUUUGUAUUUGUAAUCAUCUAAGUUUUAUAAAUGACUUUACACUUCAAGCUACAGAUAGGACUAUGUGCUUCUCAGAGUAUCAUUGCACAUCUCCAUGCGUCUUCCUUUUUGACUAAAGGAUGAAUUACCUAUUUUCACAUGCAAAAAAUUUUUUAAAUCUCCAAACUUAAAGAAAAAUCCCUGCCAAGAUUCAUAAUUUGCAUAUCCUCUAUGAUUUAUUUAAUUAUUUAUACCAAGGACCGUAUCAAAGAUCUAGAGUAUGAGACAUAACGAUUAAGACCUCAGACUACAGAAUGCACAAGUAUGAAUCCUGUCUGGCUGUCAUUUGCUAACUGAUCUUGGGGAAGUUACUUUGCCUCUCUAUUUCCCAGUUUCCUCAUACGUAUAUUGCGGAUAACAACAAUGAUAUCUCAGAGGGUUGGAGUGAUGAAUAUAUUCGUUAUCACGGGUAAGUACUCAGUGGAAGUUUGCUGUUACUAUCAUCAUUUAAAUUUGAUGAAAUUAAAGCUACCUCUCUUGAGAUUCCAUAUAAAUAAAAUUGAUAUUCUGACCUAGGGGUUACACUUAUUUUAAAAGUUAGGGAGGGGUGCUUGGGUGGCUCAGUUAAGUGUCUGCCUUUGGCUCAGGUCAUGAUUUCCGGGUACUAGGAUGGAGUCCUGCUUUGGUCUUCCUGCUUAGCGGGGAGUCUGCUUCUCUCUCUUGCCCUCCCCCUGCUCAUGCUCUCAGUCUCUCUCUUUUUCUCCUUCUUUCAAAUAAAUAAAACAUUUUGUAAAAAACUUAGGGAGAGAUGAGUAUAGUAAUGACACAGAAAGGAGCAUUUUCUAAACA